rnacentral:ncRNA from 1 species
CUCAUGUGAGUGAGUCAGUGUUUUGCAAGAAAGCCGCCUUGGCGCAGUGAAGGUGAAGGCCAGCGCACUCACUGGCUGAGGUGGGAUCCUGAGGCCUCUCCAGUCCCCUGAGGGUGCACCACUGGCCCAUCUCACCCAGGGCGGUGCCCCAGAGGUGGAGCACCAGGGCACGUGUUAGGACCUGAAAGAUGAUGAACUGUGCAUGGUCAGGGCAAAGCCGGAGGAAACUAGUGGAAGUCCCUAGCAGUCCUGAUGUGUAAAUAAAUUGGUCAUCCAACCUGGGUAUAGGGGUGAAAGACUGAUGGAACCAUCUAGUGGCUGGUUCCCUCCGAGGUUUCUCUCAGGAUGGCUGGCACUCUUCCAAAACCCACCCCACAUGGUUUCAUCUGUAAAGUGAAUGAUUGGAGGUUUUACGACCCAAAGGAUCUCCACCUACUCUCACACUUUGGUUGGGUAAGAAGCCUGGCUUGCUGGCGUGUGGAGCCGGGUAUGGAAUGUGAGUGCCUAGUGGGCCGCUUCUGGUAAGCAGACCUGGCUCUGCGGGAUGAACCGAAUGCUGGAUUAAGGUGCCCAAUGCCCACACACUCAUCAGACCCCAGAAAAGGUGUUGGUGGAUAUAGGAGGAGGGCGGCCACGGAAGUCAGAAUGGGUGGGGGUGGGGAAGAGCAGAGAAUGUAUAGAGAACAUGGUGUCUGCCCCCAUACCACCCUGAACGCGCUAUCUCGUCUGAUCCCAGAAGCUAAGUAGGGUCAGGCCUGGUCAGUACUUGGAUGAGAGAGAGCACAUAGCACAAGGGCUGGUAC